rnacentral:rRNA from 1 species
CAGUCGCCGCGGUAAUACGAAGGGGGCUAGCGUUGUUCGGAAUCACUGGGCGUAAAGCGCACGUAGGUGGACAUUUAAGUCGGAGGUGAAAUCCCAAGGCUCAACCUUGGAACUGCCUUCGAUACUGGGUGUCUUGAGUAUGGUAGAGGUUAGUGGAACUGCAAGUGUAGAGGUGAAAUUCGUAGAUAUUUGCAAGAACACCUGUGGCGAAGGCGGCUCACUGGCUCAUUCUAGACGCUGAGGUGCGAAAGCGUGGGGAGCAAACAGGAUUAGAUACCCGAGUAGUCCCUGUCUCUUAUAC